ACGCUGGCGGCGUGCUUAACACAUGCAAGUCGAACGCUGAAGGCCCAGCUUGCUGGGUUGGAUGAGUGGCGAACGGGUGAGUAACACGUGAGUAACCUGCCCCCUUCUUUGGGAUAACGGUCGGAAACGGCUGCUAAUACCGGGUAUUCACUGUCCUUCGCAUGGGGGGUGGUGGAAAGGUUUUUUCUGGUGGGGGAUGGGCUCGCGGCCUAUCAGCUUGUUGGUGGGGUGAUGGCUUACCAAGGCUUUGACGGGUAACCGGCCUGAGAGGGUGACCGGUCACAUUGGGACUGAGAUACGGCCCAGACUCCUACGGGAGGCAGCAGUGGGGAAUAUUGCACAAUGGGCGAAAGCCUGAUGCAGCGACGCCGCGUGAGGGAUGACGGCCUUCGGGUUGUAAACCUCUUUCGCUCAUGGUCAAGCCGCAACAGUGGUUGUGGUGAGGGUAGUGGGUAAAGAAGCACCGGCUAACUACGUGCCAGCAGCCGCGGUAAUACGUAGGGUGCGAGCGUUGUCCGGAAUUAUUGGGCGUAAAGGGCUUGUAGGCGGUUUGUCGCGUCUGCCGUGAAAUCCUCUGGCUUAACUGGGGGCGUGCGGUGGGUACGGGCAGGCUUGAGUGCGGUAGGGGAGACUGGAACUCCUGGUGUAGCGGUGGAAUGCGCAGAUAUCAGGAAGAACACCGGUGGCGAAGGCGGGUUUCUGGGCCGUUACUGACGCUGAGGAGCGAAAGCGUGGGGAGCGAACAGGAUUAGAUACCCUGGUAGUCCACGCUGUAAACGUUGGGCACUAGGUGUGGGGGCCACCCGUGGUUUCUGCGCCGUAGCUAACGCUUUAAGUGCCCCGCCUGGGGAGUACGGCCGCAAGGCUAAAACUCAAAGGAAUUGACGGGGGCCCGCACAAGC
rnacentral:rRNA from 1 species